rnacentral:lncRNA from 1 species
UAUUGCAUAUUUAUUGUUUGGAUGUCACCAUCAGAGAGGAGGGGAAGGGUGGUGAGGGAGGGGGGUCUGGCCCAGCCCACCUGCAGGAAGAUCUGGCUCAGGCUACUGUGGGCAGGGACCCCCACGGAGCAAAGCGCAAUGGAACUGUCCAGCUGAGGCCUGACUUUUUUCAAUAAAACAUUGUGUACUUCUGGGCCUCCUACUGCCCCGUCUCUGUUUCCCCUGGCACCAAGGGAAGAAGGCGGAACUGAAACCAGGCCCAGAGCUGGCUCCCUGAGGCUAUGUCCCUUUCCGGCAAUGUCUGGCCACCCCCAUUGGCUGGGCUGUCCCUCCCACUGGCCUUAGGGCCCCUCCCACCCCCACUCCAGAUAAGGCCAGCCCGGGACUGCUUCACUGGGCAGUAGGCACUAGGGCUGGAAUGGGGCCGUCGGGCUCCCCAUGGCAAUGGGGGCUCCUGCUGCUGGGGCUGCUGCUCCCCUCUGCCACCCCCUUCUGGCUUUUCAAUGUGCUCUUCCCCCCGCAUACCACGCCCAAGGCUGAGCUCAGUAACCACACACGGCCCGUCAUCCUCGGUAAGCCCCCACAGGCCCCUGAUGCACCAGGCCAGACCUCAGGGAGCUUGGACCCCAGCCCCUGGUAGCAGACCCUGCCAUGGCCCUUCUGCCCCUGCAUUAGCCCUGAUACCUGCCUCAGUGUUUGAGGGUCCAAAGGCUUGUCCUGCAGAGAAAUCCACCCCUUCCCCCACCACCUGUUCCUGUCUCUGAGCUGAUUUCCCUAGGGGGGGUGGAGUUGGGGGCGGGUAUGCCUGAGGGCUUAGCCAGGGCGUUACAAACUGUGGUCAGCUGCAGCCACUC